UCCCUUCCUUCCAUUACUCUCUUCUCAUUUCCUUUCUUGGCUGAAACAUGGGUGUUGGUGUUUGAUUUGGAAGGUGAAGCUGUUGAGAAUCAAGAAGAGCAACAAAGUUAAUCUUCCUCCCCGAAGUAAUUUCAUUUCUUUUCUUCUUCUUUUUCUCCUCCCUGGGAGUUUGAGAUCGAAAUUCUUCUCCCUCCGAGGUGUUGGGUCCCUUUGGGUUGCAAGUUUUGAUGGAUUUUGAGUGAAAAACAUGUGGGAAGCCAUGGAAGGGCAGAAAGUUUAAUCUGGAGCACUGAAUUGAGCGCUGCAGUGCUGGGGCUAGAUGACUGAAUUUGGUCUUAGGGUAUUCAUGAAAGUUGUAGCCUUGGAUGUUAUCUUUCCAAUGGCACAAAAAUCACCCAAAAAGGAGGUCUGGAACUUCAGUUAUGACCUUUUUAGUGAGUAAAGUUUGGACUGCAAUGAUCAUACGAUGUAUGGGAGCAAGACAGAUAGAUUGGUGUUAGAUGAUGGAGGUCACUUGAUGGUAAGAGUUGGAGAGUUAUAUUUUUGUUGACUACCCUUAGUGGUAGAGUUUAUUUUAUAGACAGUUGUAUAUAUUUUAUGGCCUGUUGAGUCAUUACUGUUGGAUGAUUGUAGUUUUACUUAUAUUGAUUGAUAGUAUACUAUUUAGUAUA